rnacentral:rRNA from 1 species
AGUGAACGCUGGCGGUAGGCCUAACACAUGCAAGUCGAACGGCAGCACAGUAAGAGCUUGCUCUUACGGGUGGCGAGUGGCGGACGGGUGAGGAAUACAUCGGAAUCUACUUUUUCGUGGGGGAUAACGUAGGGAAACUUACGCUAAUACCGCAUACGACCUACGGGUGAAAGCAGGGGAUCUUCGGACCUUGCGCGAUUGAAUGAGCCGAUGUCGGAUUAGCUAGUUGGCGGGGUAAAGGCCCACCAAGGCGACGAUCCGUAGCUGGUCUGAGAGGAUGAUCAGCCACACUGGAACUGAGACACGGUCCAGACUCCUACGGGAGGCAGCAGUGGGGAAUAUUGGACAAUGGGCGCAAGCCUGAUCCAGCCAUACCGCGUGGGUGAAGAAGGCCUUCGGGUUGUAAAGCCCUUUUGUUGGGAAAGAAAAGCAGCAGGUUAAUACCCCGCUGUUCUGACGGUACCCAAAGAAUAACACCGGCUAACUUCGUG